rnacentral:rRNA from 1 species
AUUGAACGCUGGCGGCAUGCCUUACGCAUGCAAGUCGAACGGUAACAGGUCUUCGGAUGCUGACGAGUGGCGAACGGGUGAGUAAUACAUCGGAACGUGCCUAGUAGUGGGGGAUACCUACUCGAAAGAGUGGCUAAUACCGCAUGAGAUCUACGGAUGAAAGCAGGGGAGCGCAAGACCUUGUGCUACUAGAGCGGCCGAUGGCAGAUUAGGUAGUUGGUGGGAUAAAAGCUUACCAAGCCGACGAUCUGUAGCUGGUCUGAGAGGACGAUCAGCCACACUGGGACUGAGACACGGCCCAGACUCCUACGGGAGGCAGCAGUGGGGAAUUUUGGACAAUGGGCGAAAGCCUGAUCCAGCAAUGCCGCGUGCAGGAUGAAGGCCUUCGGGUUGUAAACUGCUUUUGUACGGAACGAAAAGCCCCGGGUUAAUACCCUGGGGUCAUGACGGUACCGUAAGAAUAAGCACCGGCUAACUACGUGCCAGCCGCCGCAGUAA